AAGCUGUAGGGAGCGGUGUGAGGGGAGUGCCAGGCGAAGCACACUCCAAGGUCACCGGGCUGUUGGCCCCUUCCUCUGGGAGGAGGGCCUUACCUUGCUUGGAAUCAUGGGCUUGGCGGGGAGGCUGGGCAAAGCAGGGGUGGGAGAGCACUCCAGCUCUGUCUGGUUCACCCCACCUUGUUCCUGGCUGCUCUGCCUCACCCUGGGCCCAGCGAGAGAAAGGUCAGGUGUGUUUGCCUGAGCCAGGGGAGGAGCUUUGGAAAAACCUGUCUCCAGGCCACAGAGAAGGAAUGGCCACCUCUCUCCAUUAGUGUGAUUUAUUGCUGUCACAGCUGAGCUCCAGGGGGGCAGACUCAGCCGGCUCAAGCCAACCAGCUGUUGAUCUGAUGGGGCCAGCCCAGCCCCGGGCCUGGUUGCACAACAGUGGGGCACCUGCCAAGGCAAUGAUGGCAGAGCAGGUGAUGCUGUGAUCGCAUGUCCUGAAGGACCUGGAUGGCAGGGACUGGAGGGGGUGGGCCCCCCUGCACUAUCCAGAAGAACGGUUUCCUACCUCUGAGCUGGGCUUGGAGGCAGUCUGGUAGAGCCUGAGGCUCAGAACAUCCCCGAGGUCCCUUCUGCUCUAACAGUGUGAGCUUGGAAAGACCCCAGCCUCUCUGUCAGUUUCCUUUUCUGAAUAAUCAAGUCCUUCCUAGCUUUGGGGUAAGCUGGGCCUCCUGCUCACUGUGUAACCCUGGAAAAGCCACUUAAGCCUCAGUUUCAUCACCUAUAAAAUAAAUGCAUCAAGAUGUUUUCUGUUAUCUCACAGGGUCAAAGUGAUACAAUGGACAUCGAAGCACCGUGACAAUUCUCCAUGUAGCCAUUAUGCUAUAAAUGUUGGCAUCACUAUCCAUUUCCUUGUCUCCUCAUUCUCUGAUGGCCGGGUUCCUCUUGUCUCUGUUAGACUUGGGUUCAUGUUCUGACCUGUUUGCAGACCACCUGCAGUGUCCUCUGUAAAAUGGGCAUCUCACAGCCUGCCUGGCUGAAUUGUUGGGAGGCUCUAAGCAGCUCUUUGGAACCACUGAGACCCUGGAAUAGGGUGGAAUUGCUGCCAAGUGUGGAGAGUGGGCACCAGGCUCAGUGCAGGUACAAACGUUUAACAGCUUACCCGACCUGAGGCCUCAAGGAGGCCAGGGACUUGGCAAUCUGUGCUAUAAAUGAAGAGAAUGGUGACACGGCCACAUGCUGGCCAUUCAAGCCAUGUCAGUGGCAUCCGGAAGGUGGUGGAGGGAAGGUAAGAGUAACCAGGGGUGGGCUUGCUCCGCGAGGUCUUCCCGGAGGUGGCGAGCCUCUCCCAGAGGUGAGAGGGAGUUUGGUUACUGGGAGGAGAAAACCAAGAAAAGCUGGAGAGGAAUGGGCUCUGUUGUGGUUCAAGCCUGGAUGUGAGUUCUGAGAACAGUCAAGAAUGCAUUUCUCUCCAAGGCAUUCACUGUGGGGGAGGUGGGUCAAAUGGGUUUGCCCUUGUCACCAGCUGGUGACCUUGACUCUCAGAGUACAUUGCCCUUUGGCAGUUCUCAGAACCUCUGUGCACCAUGGCUCAGGCCUUCUUGAAGCCAACACUUAAGGAAUGGACCCUCUGGGGCCCACCUCCUUCCAGCCCUGCCUUAUAAGACCCCAGGGACCUGGCACCUGCAACCAUAGCAGGAGGCAGGAGCCAGCGUUCCUCAGGAUUCAGGACCUCUGAGUGGGACAAAUGGGGCUUGGGAACUGCCACUUUCCCUGCCCAGUGGCCAUACGGGUUAUGCAGCUGAGGACUGACUUGGGCCUGGGGUCAUGGCUUUCUAGGUGCUUCUGGCUUCUGCUUCAUUGGAGCCCCUUUCCAGCUGCAAGCCAACACCAGGAGGAACUGAUCUGGGGACCUGGAGUUCAAGGCUGUAAACUCCCACAAAGGCCAGAGCUGGCGGAGCUGGAGAACCCCAUUCUGGGAAGCUGGUGGUGAGGGCCUCUGCCUUUGAUCACCAGGAAAACAGAGGACCUUCUCUGGCCAAACGCUUGACCUACCUUGCCUCUGUUCCCACAACAAUACUGCAAG
rnacentral:lncRNA from 1 species